rnacentral:rRNA from 1 species
GUUUCCGUAGGUGAACCUGCGGAAGGAUCAUUGUCGAAACCUGCCCAGCAGAACGACCCGCNAACCCGUNUUUWACAUCGGGGGCCUGCGGGCCUCGUGCCCGUGCGCUCCCGCCCGCGCGCCGCGUUUGGGCGUCCGCCCUCUCGCGGUGCGUUAACGAACCCCGGCGCGAAUCGCGUCAAGGAAACCUGAACGAGAGAGCCCGCUCCCGUCGCCCCGGACACGGUGUGCGCGGGACGCGCGGCCUUCUUUCAUUAUCUAUAACGACUCUCGGCAACGGAUAUCUCGGCUCUCGCAUCGAUGAAGAACGUAGCGAAAUGCGAUACUUGGUGUGAAUUGCAGAAUCCCGUGAACCAUCGAGUCUUUGAACGCAAGUUGCGCCCCAAGCCGUUAGGCCGAGGGCACGUCUGCCUGGGUGUCACGCAUCGUUGCCCCCAUCCACGGAUCCUCUGGUUACCGUGGCUGCGGGCGGAAGAUGGCCUCCCGUGUGCUCGCGCACGCGGUUGGCCCAAAAACCGAGUUCUCGGUGACGCCGCCCCGCGACAAUCGGUGGAGUUUGAAACAUAACCUAGUGAUCGUGUCGCCGGGUCGCGCUCU